rnacentral:rRNA from 1 species
AUACGGAGGGGGCAAGCGUUAAUCGGAAUUACUGGGCGUAAAGAGUACGUAGGCGGCCUACUAAGUCAGAUGUGAAAGCCCAGGGCUCAACCUUGGAACUGCAUUUGAAACUGGUAGGCUAGAGUAUGGUAGAGGGGGAUAGAAUUUCUGGUGUAGCGGUGAAAUGCGUAGAUAUCAGAAGGAAUACCAGUGGCGAAGGCGGCCCCCUGGCCCAAUACUGACGCUGAGGUACGAAAGCGUGGGUAGCGAACGGGAUUAGAAACCCCAGUAGUCC